rnacentral:rRNA from 1 species
CCUACGGGAGACAGCAGUGAGGAAUAUUGGUCAAUGGACGCAAGUCUGAACCAGCCAAGCCGCGUGCAGGAAGACGGUUCUAUGCGUUGUAAACUUCUUUUGUACGAGGGUAAACGCAGAUACGUGUAUCUGUCUGAGAGUAUCGGAAGAAUAAGGAUCGGCUAACUCCGUGCCAGCAGCCGCGGUAAUACGGAGGAUUCAAGCGUUAUCCGGAUUUAUUGGGUUUAAAGGGUGCGUAGGCGGGCGGAUAAGUUAGAGGUGAAAUCCCGGGGCUCAACUUCGGAGUUGCCUCUGAUACUGUUCGGCUAGAGAGUAGGUGCGGUAGGCGGAAUGUAUGGUGUAGCGGUGAAAUGCUUAGAGAUCAUACAGAACACCGAUUGCGAAGGCAGCUUACCAAGCUACUUCUGACGUUGAGGCACGAAAGCGUGGGGAGCAAACAGGAUUAGAUACCCGGGUAGUC